rnacentral:lncRNA from 1 species
AGUGAGAUUCUGCCUCAAAAAAAAAUAAAAAUAAAAAUAAAUAAAUAAAUAAAUGGCAAGUAGAGUUAACAGAAAGCAAAGCUCUGUAAGAUGAGCCUUGCAGGCAAGAGCUGAAGGUUGCUCCAUGAGGAAAGCAGAGGCCUGAGAGGAAACGUGGUUGAACAUCAAAAACCAAUAGGUGGGUUUUAGUGAAUUUAACUAAUGCCUUCCCUAUUGAUUUUGAGACUAGAAGAAUGUAAGCAAUAAAUAUCCUAAGAAACCAGAGUAUGCUCAGCUCAGCACUGUAUUAGGCCUCAGGGUGGAUAUGGAAGAAAACAAGGCCAUCGAGGUUAUUGAAGAAACCAGAAAAAGGACAGGAAAACUUAAAUAUUACAAGGCCUUGGCCCAGUGCAGUGGCUCACGCCUGUAAUCCCAGCACUUUGGGAGGCUGAAGCGGGUAGAUCACCUGAGGUCAGGAGUUUGAGACCAGCCUGGCUGGUGAAACCUCGUCUCUACUAAAAAUACAAAAAUUAGCCAGGCGUGGUGGAGCAUGCCUGUAAUCCAGCUACUCGGGAGGCUGAGGCAGGAUAAUCACUUGAACCUGGGAGACGGAGAUUGCAGUGAACCAAGAUCGCGCGAGGUCAGGAGAUCGCGACCAUCCUGGCCAACAUGGUGAAACCCCGUCUCUACUAAAAAAUACAAAAAUUAGCCAGGCGCAGUGGUGUGUGCCUAUAAUCCCAGCUACUCAGGAGGCUGAGGCAGGAGAAUAGCUUGAACCAGGGAGUCGGAGGUUGCAGUGAGCAGAGAUCAAGCCAUUGCACCCUAGCCUGGCAAUAGAGCGAGACUCCGUCUCAAAAAAAAAAAAAAAAAAAAAAAAAAAAUUAGCCAGACAUGGUGGCGGUUUCCUAUAGUCCCAGCCACUCUGGAGGCUG